GCCUGCAGUCUGCACUUCUUCAGAUGUCAGGAAUUGUACGGAGCUCUUCUGCAGCGCCGGAUGCCACAGAGAGGAGCGUUUGUCAGUAUUCUCCUAGAGAAGCUACAGCCUGUGGCUUGGACAGGUGCACUUCUGGGUAAAGACCAGCUGGAGGGCCGGGCCCAGAGAGUGGUGGUGAAUGGAGCUGCAUCCAGCUGGUGACCGGUCACAGUGGUGUCCCCCAGGGGACGUGGACUGAGAAGCUGAGCGCUCUGCUAUGUGUCAGUCCUUGGCUGCUGGAAUUGCACACAGAAGAUGACACUGGUACGUGUACUGAGCUGCAACACCC
ensembl:lncRNA